rnacentral:lncRNA from 1 species
ACUAGCGCUCAGCCACGCAAGGCAGGAAAACAGAGGAAGUUUUCGCAUUCUGACUGCAGCCUGAGUUCCCCGGAGCAAGGCUGCUUCUCUCCACCCACUCCUCACCAAGAACUCCUGAACUUGAGAGUGGACGACUUCAAAGCUAGCUCUCACAGACUCACCUGGAAAAGAGUUCAGCUGCGCGUUCAUUGAACCGAGAGGCCAGAUCACCUAUGUGAGGCGGUGGGAACCAUAUGGAGAUUUAUAUUAGAACUUCAGCAAAGUGCACAGCUGCAGCCGGCAGAAGCCAGCUCUCGGGCUGACAGGCAAAUGAACCAGAUCGUGGACGGGGCCUCUGGGUGGCAGCUCCGGCCUUUUGGUUGUUGGACAACUAUAGUCAGAACUGAAAUGGAACAGGGGCAGGAGAAAUAACACACUUUUACUCCACGCAACUGUUGCUUUCACAUGAUCUUCAGGAAUGUAACUGGGAUAAUUGUCCAAAUUGAAUCCCAUACCCUGUCAUGGUACUGAUUAUUAAGGUGACUAUAUGAAAGGAUCACUCCAAAAUAACAGGAAUCUUGAGGAACCCAUUAAUGUAAAGCUGCGGCCAGAGUUCCAUGAGGAGGCAGAAUGUUCUAGAUGAUCCCUGUCUCUUCUCCAUUGAGGAAGUCGUUUCUUGCCUCUCUGUAAGCUCAGUUAAUCAUACCAGAAUAGGAGUCCUGUCUUAACUGAGCAAUAUACACUAUGGAGAGAUCCUUCAAAACCCGUCGGGACGAAUAACAGAUGAAUUCAUAAAACUGUUCAUCUCUGUUAUCCUGAAUGGUCACUCAGACAACAUUUUACUCAACUAUAAAGGGGAACACUUAAAGUGCAUAUGAGAAGAGAAGAGAAUGACCACAGGAGAAAAUCAUCUCAGGCCACGAUUUCCUAACCAGAAUCUGUAAGAGAGAUUCCAAGAACUUGGGAGAAGCAUAUUGUGUGAUGUUCUAUAUUUAUGAGACCCAUAGCAAACUGUGAAGAGAUAACAGAAUGCUUUUUGCGUGAGCUGAAACAGUAGAUGAAAUCUUUCAUUAAAAUUACUCAUACUUUGGGUCCUAUUCUUAUUUAUAAAUAAAUAUUAUUGCAAACAUUU